GGGGGUGGGGACUCCAGGGGACCUGAACAUCCAUUAUGGCUGUGCUUGCAAUUUGUGUUUUGUUUUGUGUUCCUGUGGCUAUGCACUUUGUAAAAACACUGAUGCCACUACACCCUGCAAGUGUGAAAUAAAGAUUUCUCUCUUCAUGAUCACAA
rnacentral:lncRNA from 1 species